rnacentral:tRNA from 1 species
UUGUAACUUGGUGUUAUAGGCAUAUUACAUUUUGGUUGUAGGGGUAAUUUGUUGUUAGUUACAAA